GGCCCGUUCGUCUAUCGGUUAGGACAUCUCCCUUUCACGGAGGAAAGAGGAGUUCGACUCUCCUACGGGCUACAA
rnacentral:tRNA from 1 species